GAUGAACGCUAGCGGCAGGCCUAAUACAUGCAAGUCGAACGGAUAUAUGUUUUUCGGAAUAUAUACUAGUGGCGCACGGGUGAGUAACACGUACAUAACUUGCCCUCAAGCGGGGGAUAGCCUUGGGAAACUGAGAGUAAUACCCCAUAGAAUUAUUGGACGGCAUCGUUUGAUAAUUAAAACUACGGUGCUUGGGGAUAGAUGUGCGUCUGAUUAGCUAGUUGGUGAGGUAACUGCUCACCAAGGCGACGAUCAGUAGGGGGGCGUGAGAGCGUGGCCCCCCCACACGGGUACUGAGACACGGACCCGACUCCUACGGGAGGCAGCAGUAAGGAAUAUUGGUCAAUGGAGGGAACUCUGAACCAGCCAUGCCGCGUGAAGGAUGACGGCCCUCUGGGUUGUAAACUUCUUUUGGAUGGGGCGAAAAAACGGGAUUUAGUCCUGGACUGACGGUACCAUCAGAAUAAGCACCGGCUAACUCCGUG
rnacentral:rRNA from 1 species